AAUGAGAAGACAAUGAUGCAGAGGGUGGGGUCAUUUUCUUUGUGAUCACUGAUGGGAAGUUUAUUUACGAACUCCCUUGUCGUUUCGUGAACAAUAUGGAAACCGUUAGUCAAGCAAGAAUGGGAUCUUAUCAUGGAAAAAAUGAGAAUAGUAAUUGGAAAUAUGUUGAGCCUGAUUUAACAUUCAUAAGCUGUCUAUCCCCCUGAUGCUUUUUUUGGAGGUAAGCCCAAAGAGUUUGGACAAAGUUGAAAAAAAAGAAAUUUCGUUAUCUACUGCGAUUGUGUUAUAUCUCGAGAUCUGCAUGGACCAUUAAGUGUCAUUAGAAAAAAAAUAAAUCAUACAUAAUUGAAAGACUUUAAGAAAAGUAAGAGAAAAUCAAUCGAACAAUUGGGAUGCACUAAUUAAUUUAGGAGGUGUGCAGCAGGACAUGUCUGUAUGCUUUGAUUCAUCGGAGGAAGUGUUAAGUUUCAUGGGACAGGGAAGAGCUGCUAAUCAGUCUCCGUGAGUUCUGGGGGGAAUUCGCAAAAUUAGAUUUUCCAAGGAGUUUAGGAGGAGGAGAAAGAGGCGAUCAUAGUACAACAGCUAGAGCCAAGCAUACACAAGACUAUGGUAUCAUCUUCCUGCAGCCUAGGCAUUUAUAGUUUGUUGUGGUGAUUGAGAUCCUCCUCUUAAAAAUGUUUUUUUGAGUUGUUGGAAGUGAACCCCGUUCAAGUGUCCCUGGUACAUGCUGAAGACAAACUGACUGCUUUGGAAAGCGGUGAAAUCAAUGCGACAGAGUGAUGAGGAGACCUCCCUGUGUCUUUUUUUUUAUUUCCGUUUUUUUUCCCUAUAUUUGGCACAUCUCUAUUGUUCUUCACUAAGCGCCGAGGUAUCUAACUGAUAACAUGGAUUUAUCUAAUCUCUCAUAAUUAGGAGUAUGGAUGGAGCUGAUCUGUGCUUUGAGAUUGUCAAGAGAGCCUCAAUGGGCUUUGUUUACAGUGAAGCUGUGGCCAGCCAUUACCUGAGACAAAUCUUGGAUGCGUUGAGAUACUGCCAUACCAAUGACAUCAUUCACAGAGACCUCAAGCCCCACUGUGUGUUGCUUGCGAGCAAGGAGAACUCCGCCCCCGUCAAACUCGGGGGAUUCGGUGUGGCCACUCAGGUUCCUGAGGGUGGCCUGAUUUCUGGAGGUCGUAUCGGUACGCCGCAGUACAUGGCCCCUGAGGUGGUGCAGCGGCAGCCCUACGGUAAACCAGUGGACAUGUGGGGCUGUGGUGUGAUGCUGUUCAUCCUCCUGGGAGGCUACCCACCGUUUGUUGGCACCAAGGACCACCUGUUUGAACAAAUUGUCAAAGGCAGCUAUCAUAUGAGAAAACAAUGGCUCAAUAUAUCUAACUAUGCAAAAGAUUUAGUCAGCCGGAUGCUGGAGGUGGAUCCAGAGAAACGGAUAACAGUGGAGGAAGCUUUACAACAUCCGUGGGUCAAGGAAAGAGGAAAAAUCCCCAAAGUUCAUCUGCAGGAAACGGUAGAAGAACUGAAGAAAUUUAAUUCCAGGCGGAAAUUGAAGGGUGCAAUCAUGGCAGCAGUGUCGAGUUCCAAAUGGAAUACGUUUUACAAUGAUCCAGUGGUUCCAGAUAUUAAUGAAGAGGAGGUAACUUCUGCUGCUGUGUCCCAGGUGCUGGACUCGCUGGAGGAGAUGCAGUGUCUGACCGACUGUACCGGCGAGGAGAAGGACCUGAUAGAGAAAGUCUUCCAAGAUACCAAGCUCCACGCCCUCCUACUGUUGUAUGACAAGAUCAACACCCAGACGGCCGCUCCUGUCCAACCGCCACCUUCUGAUGCUGUGGAUAGAGCUAGAGAGGUUCACAAUGAUAUGAAGAGAUGUCCUCAAGAAUACAUGACAGUAUGCCAGGAGCUGGAACAAAUUCUGACGAAACCCCACGUAAUGGCCUUAUUACAAGCACAUGAUGUAGUAGCUCACGAGGUGUAUAGUGAAGAUGCAGUGCGAGUCACUCCGCCUCCGAUUCAGACAUUUGUCAACAUAAACGGUGAUACCUCACAACCUCCCAGUCCAGAAGUCGAGAUGGAUCCUGGGUGUAAAAUCAAUCGAGUCCGACUCGUUCAGUUCCACAAAAACAAGGAUGAGCCUAUGGGAAUUACUCUAAAGGUCAAUGAUAUUGGUCAAUGUAAGGUGGCUCGGAUAAUGCAUGGAGGAAUGAUCCACAGACAAGGAACUCUUCACGUUGGAGAUGAAAUCAAAGAAAUUAACGAGGUCAGCGUGGUCAACCAGACAGUGGAUAACUUACAGAAAAUGCUGAAAUCAUUAAGUGGCAAUGUUACCUUCAAAAUUGUUCCUCAGCCAUCGGGCAACAUUCAUAAAGAACGGAACGAGAACGGAACCCACAAAGAGAUCUUUGUGAGAGCGCUGUUUGAUUACAACCCUGAGGAUGACGAUAUGAUUCCCUGUCCCCAGGCCGGGGUGUCCUUCAGAGUGGGGGACGUGUUACGAAUAAUAAACAAAGAGGACUCCAAUUGGUGGCAGGCCAAGUUAUGGGGGGUGGGCCCCACCACCCCCGCUGGUCUCAUUCCCUCCCCCGAACUACAGGAGUGGCGGACCUCCCAGUCCUCACGGGAGAAGGCGCGCCAUGAACACGCAGCCCACUGUUCAUGGUUUGGGAGGAAGAAGAAAGAUAAAUACUUGGCCAAACACAACUCUAUUUUUGACCAAUUAGAUCUCAAUACAUACGAGGAAGUCGUGAGUCUCCCAGCCUUUAUGAGGAAGACACUGGUAUUAUUAGGGGCCCAUGGUGUCGGACGGAGACAUAUUAAGAACACCCUCAUUACGAGUCAUCCAGAUAGAUUUGCUUAUCCCAUUCCACGUGAGUAAACAGAAAGAAAACGGAUCUAUAAAAAUGCAGGGAAGAGUAAUUAAGCUUGAAAGCCUUAUCAUAAUUUUUUUAAUUACUUGAUGAAAAGACCCAAGGAAGUGGAAUAAAUUGGAAAAC
rnacentral:misc_RNA from 1 species